AGCAGCCGCGGUAAUUCCAGCUCCAAUAGCGUAUAUUAAAGUUGUUGCAGUUAAAAAGCUCGUAGUUGAAUUUCGGGAUCAAUUAAUUGGUCGUGCCUCUGGUACGUACUGGUUUUAUUGGUUUCUCCCUUCUGACGAACCAUGAUGUCAUUAAUUUGGUGUCGUGGAGAAUCAGGACUGUUACUUUGAAAAAAUUAGAGUGUUUAAAGCAAGCUAACGCUUGAAUACAUUAGCAUGGAAUAAUGAAAUAGGACGUUUGAUCCUAUUUUGUUGGUUUCUAGGAUCGACGUAAUGAUUAAUAGGGAUAGUUGGGGGCAUUAGUAUUCAAUUGUCAGAGGUGAAAUUCUUGGAUUUAUUGAAGACUAACUACUGCGAAAGCAUUUGCCAAGGAUGUUUUCAUUAAUCAAGAACGAAAGUUAGGGGAUCGAAGACGAUCAGAUACCGUCGUAGUCUUAACCAUAAACUAUGCCGACUAGGGAUCGGAUGAUGUUAAUUUUUAAUGACUCAUUCGGCACCUUAA
rnacentral:misc_RNA from 1 species